UACGUAGGGUGCGAGCGUUAAUCGGAAUUACUGGGCGUAAAGCGUGCGCAGGCGGUUAUGCAAGACAGAUGUGAAAUCCCCGGGCUUAACCUGGGAACUGCAUUUGUGACUGCAUAGCUAGAGUACGGUAGAGGGGGAUGGAAUUCCGCGUGUAGCAGUGAAAUGCGUAGAUAUGCGGAGGAACACCGAUGGCGAAGGCAAUCCCCUGGACCUGUACUGACGCUCAUGCACGAAAGCGUGGGGAGCAAACAGG
rnacentral:rRNA from 1 species